rnacentral:misc_RNA from 1 species
AAGUCGUAACAAGGUUUCCGUAGGUGAACCUGCGGAAGGAUCAUUAACAAAUGUUUCCCAACAACCAAAUACAACGUAAUGUGAACUGAGAUCCAAAACACGCUUACCUGGGUGUGUUAAUGCUGGCGAGAUUUACUUGGUUAGGCGGCUGGGUUGGCUUAACGGCCCCCACUGCAUUUCCAUGCUCGCCACGUUUCUAUACUCAGGCCGAGUACCAAAUCCACGCAAUUUAAUUACAAAUCUCACUUACUUUAUAUAUAAUCAAAAUAUAAAGACAACUUUUAGCAACGGAUCUCUUGGCUCUC